GACGAACGCUGGCGGCGUGCCUAAUACAUGCAAGUCGAGCGCAGGAAAUCGACGGAACCCUUCGGGGGGAAGUCGAUGGAAUGAGCGGCGGACGGGUGAGUAACACGUAAAGAACCUGCCCUCAGGUCUGGGAUAACCACGAGAAAUCGGGGCUAAUACCGGAUGGGUCAUCGGACCGCAUGGUCCGAGGAUGAAAGGCGCUUCGGCGUCGCCUGGGGAUGGCUUUGGGGUGCAUUAGCGAGUUGGUGGGGUAAUGGGCCACCAAGGCGACGAUGAGUAGCCGACCUGAGGGGGGGAUGGGCCACACUGGGACUGAGGCACGGCCGAGACUCCUACGGGAGGCAGCAGUAGGGAAUCUUCCACAAUGGAGGAAAGUCUGAUGGAGCAACGCCGGGUGAACGAUGAAGGCCUUCGGGUCGUAAAGUUCUGUUGUAAGGGAAGAACAAGUGCCGCAGGCAAUGGCGGCACCUUGACGGUACCUUGCGAGAAAGCCACGGCUAACUACGUGCCAGCAGCCGCGGUAA
rnacentral:rRNA from 1 species